rnacentral:rRNA from 1 species
GUAGGUGGCAAGCGUUGUCCGGAAUUAUUGGGCGUAAAGCGCGCGCAGGCGGUUCUUUAAGUCUGAUGUGAAAGCCCACGGCUCAACCGUGGAGGGUCAUUGGAAACUGGAGAACUUGAGUACAGAAGAGGAAAGCGGAAUUCCACGUGUAGCGGUGAAAUGCGUAGAGAUGUGGAGGAACACCAGUGGCGAAGGCGGCUUUCUGGUCUGUAACUGACGCUGAGGCGCGAAAGCGUGGGGAGCAAACAGGAUUAGAUACCCUGGUAGUCCACGCCGUAAACGAUGAGUGCUAAGUGUUGGGGGGGUUUCCGCCCCCCUUAGUGCUGCAGCUAACGCAUUAAGCACUCCGCCUGGGAGUACGGCCGCAAGGCUG